rnacentral:rRNA from 1 species
AUUGAACGCUGGCGGCAGGCCUAACACAUGCAAGUCGAACGAGGGGCGGACGGGUGAGGAAUGGCUGGGAAACUGCCCGAGGGGGGGGGAUAACUGAUGGAAACGGUAGCUAAUAACGCAUACCGUCGGAUGUACCCAGAUGGGAUUAGCUGGUAGGUGAGGUAACGGCUCACCUAGGCGACGAUCCCUCGCGGGUGUGGGAGGCUGGCCAGCCACACGGGAACUGAGACACGGUCCAAACUCCUACGGGAGGCAGCAGGGGGGAAUAGGGGACAAUGGGCGAAAGCCUGAUGCAUCCAUGCCGCGUUGAUGAAGAAGGCCUUCGGGUUGUAAAGUACUUUCAGCGGGGAGGCGUUACCCGCAGAAGAAGCACCGGCUAACUCCGUGCCAGCAGCCGCGGUAAUUC